UACAGGGGGUGCGAGCGUUGUCCGGAAUCACUGGGCGUAAAGGGCGCGUAGGUGGCGCUCCAAGUCCGUGGUGAAAGCUCGAUGCUCAACAUCGAGUCGGCCACGGAGACUGGAGGGCUCGAGCACUGUAGGGGCAGAUGGAAUUCCGGGUGUAGCGGUGGAAUGCGUAGAGAUCCGGAAGAACACCGGUGGCGAAGGCGGUCUGCUGGGCAGUAGCUGACACUGAGGCGCGACAGCGUGGGGAGCAAACAGG
rnacentral:rRNA from 1 species